UUUUAAAAGGAAAGAAGAAAAACUUUUUACUAAAAUUGAAACAAGUACAGAAGCCCUGGAGAGAAAGGAGGGCUCUUUGGAGCAAAUUCAGCGAACAAAGGACGCUAAUUUACACCGACCAACUUCCCAACUCUAAUUAACACCUCACAGGAUUAUUCCAUUUAUUUCUACUUACCAAUUACAAUAAACAUAUAUUUAUGCUUGUCAAACUACAUAAUCAUUUAUAAUUAUAAUUAUAGUUAUAAAUGAUUAUGUAGUUUGA
rnacentral:misc_RNA from 1 species